GACGAAGGACCCGAGCGUUAUCCGGAUUCAUUGGGUUUAAAGGGUGCGUAGGCGGAUUGAUAAGUCAGUGGUGAAAGCCCCAGGCUCAACUUGGGAACUGCCAUUGAUACUGUCGAUCUUGAAUAUAGCUGAUGUGGGCGGAAUAUGACAUGUAGCGGUGAAAUGCUUAGAUAUGUCAUAGAACACCGAUUGCGAAGGCAGCUCACAAAACUAUUAUUGACGCUGAGGCACGAAAGUGCGGGGAUCAAACAGG
rnacentral:rRNA from 1 species